rnacentral:rRNA from 1 species
AUUGCCUUAGUAACGGCGAGUGAAGCGGCAACAGCUCAAAUUUGAAAUCUGGCCCUUGGGUCCGAAUUGUAAUUUGUAGAGGAUGAUUUUGGUGCGGUAUCUUCCGAGUUCCUUGGAACAGGACGCCUUAGAGGGUGAGAGCCCCGUACGGUUGAAUGCCUAGCCUCUGUAAAUCUCCUUCGACGAGUCGAGUAGUUUGGGAAUGCUGCUCUAAAUGGGAGGUAAAUUUCUUCUAAAGCUAAAUAUUGGCCAGAGACCGAUAGCGCACAAGUAGAGUGAUCGAAAGAUGAAAAGCACUUUGAAAAGAGGGUUAAAUAGCACGUGAAAUUGUUGAAAGGGAAGGAUUUGUGACCAGACUUUUUCUGGGCGGAUCAUCCGGGGUUCUCUCCGGUGCACUUCGCCCAGUAAAGGCCAGCAUCGGUUUUCGGCGUGGGAUAAAAGCAGUAGGAAUGUGGCUCUCUUCGGGGAGUGUUAUAGCCUAUUGUAUAAUACCGCGCUGGGGACCGAGGUUCGCGCUUCUGCAAGGAUGCUGGCGUAAUGGUUAUCAAUCACCCGUCUUGAAACACGGACCAAGGAGUCGAACAUUUGUGCGAGUGUUUGGGUGUUAAACCCUCACGCGUAAUGAAAGUGAACGGAGGUGAGAGCCCUUACGGGUGCAUCAUCGACCGAUCCUGAAGUUUUCGGAUGGAUUUGAGUAAGAGCAUAACUGUUCGGACCCGAAAGAUGGUGAACUAUGCGUGGAUAGGGUGAAGCCAGAGGAAACUCUGGUGGAGGCUCGCAGCGGUUCUGACGUGCAAAUCGAUCGUCAAAUCUGCGCAUGGGGGCGAAAGACUAAUCGAACCAUCUAGUAGCUGGUUACCGCGAG